UGGAUCACCUCCUAACAGGGAGACAACAAAAUGUUUAAUAUUAUUAUUUUGUCACCUUAGGUCGAUCGGUAUCUCACGUUUUUAAUUUAUUAAGAAUUUCAUUUCCUAAGUUUUUCUAGGUCACACCCAUUAUUUUUCCUGGGCCAUUAGCUCAGGUGGUUAGAGCGCACCCCUGAUAAGGGUGAGGUCCCUGGUUCAAGUCCAGGAUGGCCCAUAUCUCUAUGUUGGGGGUAUAGCUCAGUUGGUAGAGCGCCUGCUUUGCAAGCAGGGUGUCAGCGGUUCGAGUCCGCUUACCUCCACUGAUUACCACCUCUUCCAUAAUCUGUAGAAAGGAAAUGUUUUGAGUUGUGAUCAAAUUCUGAACGAAUCUAGCUUCCUAAUGAAAUCAUUAAGAUGCUGGACUCAUUGAAUUAAAUUCAUUGUUUUCAGAGAACCUUGACAACUGCAUAGAUUAUUUUUUAAAGACAAUAAGCAUCUUUAAUGAUGCAGAUUUAUUAUUUGUGCGAAUGCAUUAAUAACAAUUCUAUUAAGCUGAUGCUUCAAUUAUGAAGUUAUUGGUCAAGCUACAAAGGGCUCACGGAGGAUACCUAGGCACACAGAGGCGAUGAAGG
rnacentral:tRNA from 1 species